GACGAACGCUGGCGGCGUGCUUAACACAUGCAAGUCGAACGAAGUGGCGAACGGGUGAGUAAUACGUGGGUAACUUGCCCUCCUUUUUGGGCUAAGCCUUGGACACGGGGUCUAAUACCGAACACAGGGGGAGGGGCUCGCGGCCUAUGAGCUUGUUGGUGGGGUGAUGGCCUACCAAGGCGGUGUCGGGUAGCCGGCCUGAGAGGGUGACCGGCCACGUUGGGACGAAGAUACGGCCCAGGGUCGUACGGGAGGCAGCCGUGGGGGAUAUUGCACAAUGGGCGAAAGCCUGAUGCAGCGACGCCGCGUGGGGGAUGAAGGCUUUCGGGUUGUAAACCUCUUUCGCUAUCGAAGGGGUAGGUAGAGAAGAAGCGCCGGCUAACUACGUGCCAGCAGCCGCGGUAAUUC
rnacentral:rRNA from 1 species